UACGUAGGUGGCAAGCGUUAUCCGGAUUUACUGGGCGUAAAGGGUGUGCAGGCGGCCAGGUAGGUCCGUUGUGAAAACUCGAGGCUCAACCUCGAGACGUCGGCGGAAACCCUCUGGCUAGAGUCCGGAAGAGGAGAGUGGAAUUCCUGGUGUAGCGGUGAAAUGCGCAGAUAUCAGGAAGAACACCCGUGGCGAAGGCGGCUCUCUGGGACGGUACUGACGCUGAGACGCGAAAGCGUGGGGAGCAAACAGG
rnacentral:rRNA from 1 species